UACGGGGGGGGCAAGCGUUGUUCGGAAUUACUGGGCGUAAAGGGCUCGUAGGCGGCCAACUAAGUCAGACGUGAAAUCCCUCGGCUUAACCGGGGAACUGCGUCUGAUACUGGAUGGCUUGAGGUUGGGAGAGGGAUGCGGAAUUCCCAGUGUAGCGGUGAAAUGCGUAGAUAUUGGGAGGAACACCAGUGGCGAAGGCGGCUCACUGGACCACAACUGACGCUGAGGCGCGAAAGCUAGGGGAGCAAACAGGG
rnacentral:rRNA from 1 species